rnacentral:rRNA from 1 species
AGCGAACGCUGGCGGCAGGCCUAACACAUGCAAGUCGAACGAACCUUUCGGGGUUAGUGGCGGACGGGUGAGUAACACGUGGGAACGUGCCUUUAGGUUCGGAAUAACUCAGGGAAACUUGUGCUAAUACCGAAUGUGCCCUUCGGGGGAAAGAUUAAUCGCCUUUAGAGCGGCCCGCGUCUGAUUAGCUAGUUGGUUGAGGUAAUGGCUCACCAAGGCGACGAUCAGUAGCUGGUCUGAGAGGAUGAUCAGCCACAUUGGGACUGAGACACGGCCCAAACUCCUACGGGAGGCAGCAGUGGGGAAUCUUGCGCAAUGGGCGAAAGCCUGACGCAGCCAUGCCGCGUGAAUGAUGAAGGUCUUAGGAUUGUAAAAUUCUUUCACCGGGGACGAUAAUGACGGUACCUGGAGAAGAAGCCCCGGCUAACUUCGUG